rnacentral:rRNA from 1 species
GGCUGUUCCCCUCGGUCUGCUUCGAAAGGAGUGUGUACCAGAGAUGGACGGCCAUCCUCGAAGCAUUGUUCUGCUGGCAUUCAGUUGUCGGUGGUGCGGUCUUCGUCAUUUACUGUGAGUAAACUAGAGUGUUCAAAGCAGGCUUAGGCCGUUGAAUAUUUUAGCAUGGAAUAAUAAGAUAGGACCUUGGUCUAUUUUGUUGGUUUGUAUUCCAAGGUA